rnacentral:rRNA from 1 species
AUGCGCCUGGUCGGCGGCGCCGGUUACCCGCUCACGGACUGGAUGCUGGUGCCCUACUCCCACCAGAACCUGACGUGGACGCAGCACGAGUUCAACGGGAGAGUGGCAAAGGCGCGCGCCGUGGCUGUCGGCGCGUUCCAGAGGCUCAAGGCGCGCUGGGCCUGCCUCCAGAGGCGCACCGAGGUCAAGGUGGACGAUCUUUCCGUCAUGCUCGGCGCCUGCUGCGCGCUACACAACAUCUGCGAGCGCAGCGGCGAACUCUUCGACCUCCAGCUGCUGCGGGGCCUGGAGCUCGACCUAGACGACGACAACCACAUGGUCGCCAAUGACCUCGUGCCCUCCCCUGCCGCUGCGCAGAUGCGAGACACCAUCGCCCACAACAUGCUUCACCAUGCCACGGUGGCCGGCGCUGGGUCAUUCUACUAG